rnacentral:lncRNA from 1 species
CUGCUAAUUUCCUCCUUCACGGGUGGCUGGAUCAUGGCUUGAUUGGUCCUGGGACGUUCACCGCGUGAAGAACGCGGGCUGCUGGGAUGCGGAAGAUGAAUGCUGAGAGCUAGAGCAUACGUGGGAGGCUGGAUCACGGCUUGCAUCACGGCUGGGAUGCUUGCAUUCGGAAGGAGUGGAUCAUGGAUGCUGAUUCGAGAAGGAAGCUGGCUGCGGUUCCUUGAUCACGGACGGCUGGAGUUCCGUCGCGGACGGCUGGAGUUUCGGGAGGUGGGAGCUUUGGCUGGAUGCGAUGCUGGAAUGGGUUGCUAAUCCGGACAAUGGGGCUGGGGCGCUGCUUCGACGUAUUGUGAACGGCUUGAUUGUUGGGAGGAACGCACGGCUCGAUUGAUCAUGGUACCAUUUCUUCUCCCUUGAUGAAGCUGGAGAUCGCAUGAGAUGCUCAUUGUGACUUGAUGCUUGGGCUCGCGUGAUCUCAUGGGAUGAGAUACGCGGAGACUGAUUUGGAAGGUUGUGGUCGGUUGGUAGGACUCCACUGUUAGCUCUCCUACUCUAUGUCUUCAAAUCGGGCUCGGUUCUGUGAUCCUUGGAUGGUGCAAAUGUGCUUGAUUAGAUCAUGGCAGGAUUGGGCCCGCGCGGUUUGGGGCCAUGAUGCAUCUCUCUAAACCCAACCUAUACCAAAUACGCAUUUAAACUUUAAUUUAUAAUAACCUGUGCCAAACAACAAUAUAAUAUUAAACCAGUGAAUUUAUCAUUAUCAGUCAGUAAUAACACUAAUUUAGUUGAUAUGUAGAUCGCACUUUUGUACUCGCAUCAUCCCUCUUGAUGGAUCGAUCGAUCAGGAGCAUUUAGAAAUUAAUCCCUAAUGACACAUGCCUCAAA